rnacentral:rRNA from 1 species
AUGAACGCUGGCGGCGUGCCUAACACAUGCAAGUCGAACGAAGCACCUUACCUGAUUCUUCGGAUGAAAGUUUGGUGACUGAGUGGCGGACGGGUGAGUAACGCGUGGGUAACCUGCCCUGUACAGGGGGAUAACAGCUGGAAACGGCUGCUAAUACCGCAUAAGCGCACGAGGAGACAUCUCCUUGUGUGAAAAACUCCGGUGGUACAGGAUGGGCCCGCGUCUGAUUAGCUGGUUGGCAGGGUAACGGCCUACCAAGGCAACGAUCAGUAGCCGGUCUGAGAGGAUGAACGGCCACAUUGGAACUGAGACACGGUCCAAACUCCUACGGGAGGCAGCAGUGGGGAAUAUUGCACAAUGGGGGAAACCCUGAUGCAGCAACGCCGCGUGAGUGAAGAAGUAUUUCGGUAUGUAAAGCUCUAUCAGCAGGGAAGAUAAUGACGGUACCUGACUAAGAAGCUCCGGCUAAAUACGU